rnacentral:lncRNA from 1 species
AGCCCUUCAGACGCAACAGAAAUUAAAACUUAUAUUUUAAUUAUAUAUUUGGCUAAUUAUAAAAUCCUGAGAUGCUUUUUUUGUUUAUUUUUAUGCAGAUUUCUCUCAGCACGGAAAAAAUCGUCGAAAAUUUGAUAGGAGUAAUCAAAUGUUCGUUGGCAAAUUUGAUAGACAUCAGUACGAAAGAUAUUUAGAUAACCUGGCCCAUCCUCUCCGCGGAGUGUCUCAAAUUUUGUCCGGGUGUCUGGAUUCGGGUUUAUCAGACAUCCGAAGGGGAUGACAAGUGGCCGGAAGAGGCGACAGCAAUAACUACCUUAUCUAUUCCUCAAAAGUGCUGCCUUGUAAACAAAGAUGCUGCUUCGUAUUCGAUCGUCCUUUUCCCGCAGCAGCAGUCAUCGUGACGAAAAGGAUCCCUUUUUCUUUUCCUUGGCCAGAAAUCUCACCCAGUGCCGCGCUUAUGCCGUGGAAGUCAUUCCAAACUAUCAGUCCCUUGGCGGCAAAACUCUGCGUACGCAAAUCGUCGUUCCGCCCAAUAAUAAGCAAAGCGACGAACAGCACGAAACCGCUAACAAGCAUUGUGGCCCAUCACUCAAAUUAGUUGGUCUUUAAUUGGGAAGACAAUUCUGAAUGCACGCCGCUCGUCCUUCAACUUGAAAUAUUUCGAGAUGGAAUUCUAGAUAGAGAAAAGGCCAUUUCGACCAUUAGUGUUCCUCGCAGUUGCCUGGAGCAUCCUAGGAAAAAUGAAAAUCUGUUUUUACUGGAGUUGCCGGCCGAUAGGCAAACCUGUCCAAUAGACUGGAAGCCUUUAGAUGUGUGUCGCAAAUACAGACUCGAUGUCAGCUCUCAGUACUCGGCCUGGAAAAGUCCGUCGUCGUCGUAACAUAUUUACAGGGCAAGAAGGUUAUUUAUUUAUUUAUUUUUUAUUUCGCUGCCGGUAAUAAAAGUUUGCCACAAUCUUAGAAUCGGGAAACUACCCGGUGAACAUAAGCGAUUUUAUGUGAUGCCCAAAAGAUCAUUAUUUCUGCCCAUUUCGUGGGUGUCAACAAAUACAAUCCAUCAGCAUUUGCGAAAUUGAUGGCCAGCGCGACGAUGGCCGGGACGAAAAACAUUGUGAUACCGAGUGCAACAAAGAAAGAUUUCGAUGUGGACAGCAUGUUUACCCUUGUGUUUACCGAAGGAUUUAUAGUUUGUGAUGGUAAAUACGACUGUCUGGAUGGUUCUGACGAAGGCUACGAUUGCAGUUACGCAUAUAUAUGUGUGUCAACAAUUCACGAAUGCUUUGGGUAAAUUUUCUUCCCGGAUUUUUCUUAAACCUGCGUUUGAAAUUCAUCCAGACAUAGUUCCUGAUGCCGUUCGGAAAACGGCAGUGCUGGUGUAUCAAUUCAACCCGACGACCAAAUUUGGCUUUCAUUCAAUAAAUUUGUCACUUACAAGCAUUUUAUCAAAGUUUAUGAUGGCCCUUACUCGUCCAGUCCUCUUCUGUUAUCACACAUUUGGAUUAAGUAAGCCGUACUCUGUGCGGUCGUCAUCCAGCGACUUGUUUGUUGAAUUCCCAUCGUACCAUGACCCGAAUUAUGGAAUUGAGGCUUUCUAUACAAGUGUAAACCUCACAGACGAGCCAUUUGUACCCGGCUGUGAUGGUUUUAUUAACGGCGAAGGGGUUAUUUCGACUCCGAAUGAUUUAUCCGGAUUUAUCAGCGACAAGUAAAGACGACUGCUUUUGGGUUAUUGAAUCCUGAAAUAGUGAAGACAGUAUCCUACUAAGAAAACAUUCUUUUGAUUUCAAAACUACCAAGCUGACCCCUGUAUUAUUAUCCGUUUCAUGUAUCCAACUAUAACUGCAAGUCUAAUUGUUAAAUUACUCCUACAUUAUUCCAAUUAAUGUUUAUUCUCUUGUAUUUUGAAAAGGUUUACGACGGAUGGAGUACAAACGGUCUUGUGCUUUACAAUGGCAAACCAUCAAAUAACGUAGUACAGGACAAGGCGGUCAUCUUCUCGAUCACCAACAAAAUAUUGGUAUACAUUUAAAACCACCUGACGUCAUCAAUAAAUACCGCGCCUUUUACUGGAACGUGUCCAUACUGUCCAAGAUAUCCUCAGCGAAAUGCAAACAUCACUACGAUGUAACCAGAGGGACCAUAAAAAGCCCAAACUAUCCGAUGCUCUAUCCCGGUAUCCCCAUCUGACGGACUGUCGCUGGACCAUCAGCGUGAAACCGGGAUCAAAAGUCCGGCUGCUUGUUGCGUUCUUCGAGACGCAAGAGGGCUCGGAUUUCUU